CCUACGGGUGGCAGCAGUGCGGAAUAUUGGUCAAUGGGCGAGAGCCUGAACCAGCCAAGUCGCGUGAAGGAUGACGGCCCUACGGAUUGUAACCUUCUUUUGUCAGGGAGCAAUUGGGUCCACGCGUUGGCUUAGCGAGAGUACCUGCAGAAAAAGCAUCGGCUAACUACGUGCCACCAGCCGCGGUAAUACGGAGGAUGCGAGAGUUAUCCGGAUUUAUUGGGUUAAAAGGGUGCGGAGGCGGAAUACCAAGUCAGCGGUAAAAAUUCGGGGCGAAAGCCCGUUGUGCCGUUGAAACUGGUGGUCUUGAGUGGGCGAGAAGGAUGCGGAAUGCGUGGUGUAGCGGUGAAAUGCAUAGAUAUCACGAAGAACUACGAUUGCGAAGGCAGCAUACCGGCGCCCAACUGACGCUGAAGCACGAAAGCGUGGGUAUCGAACAGGAUUAGAUACCCCUGUAGUC
rnacentral:rRNA from 1 species